rnacentral:rRNA from 1 species
GACGAACGCUGACGGCGGGCUUAACACAUGCAAGUCGAAGGGAGUGGCGAACGGGUGAGUAACACGUGAGUCACCUUCCCUUCCAUUUGGGAUAAGACUGGGAAACUGGGUCCAAUACUGGAUGGAUUGGGAUGGGCGCGCGGCUUAUCCGCUUGUUGGUGUGGUGAUGGGUUACCAAGGCUUUGACGGGUAGCCGGCCUGAGGGGGUGGGCGGUAACUCUGGGGCUGAGGUACGGCCCAGACUCCUACGGGAGGCAGCAGUGGGGGAUAUUGCACAAUGGACGAAAGUCUGAUGCAGCGACGUCGUGUGGGGGAUGUAGGCCUUCGGGUUGUAAACUCCUUUCGCCCGCGGAAUGGUAGUGGGUAACGAAGCGACGGCUAACUACGUGCCAGCAGCCGCGGUAAUAC